rnacentral:rRNA from 1 species
UACGUAGGCAGCAAGCGUUGUUCGGAGUUACUGGGCGUAAAGGGUGCGUAGGCGGCUUCUUAAGUCUGGUGUGAAAUCUCCCGGCUCAACUGGGAGGGUGCGCCGAAUACUGAAUGACUAGAGUGCGGGAGAGGAGAGUGGAAUUCCUGGUGUAGCGGUGAAAUGCGUAGAUAUCAGGAGGAACACCGGUGGUGUAGACGGCUCUCUGGACCGUAACUGACGCUGAGGCACGAAAGCGUGGGUAGCAAACAGG